rnacentral:rRNA from 1 species
GGGUUGUGAGGUUAAGCGACUAAGCGUACACGGUGGAUGCCCUGGCAGUCAGAGGCGAUGAAGGACGUGCUAAUCUGCGAAAAGCGUCGGUAAGGUGAUAUGAACCGUUAUAACCGGCGAUGUCCGAAUGGGGAAACCCAGUGUGAUUCGUCACACUAUCGUUAACUGAAUACAUAGGUUAACGAGGCGAACCGGGGGAACUGAAACAUCUAAGUACCCCGAGGAAAAGAAAUCAACCGAGAUUCCCCCAGUAGCGGCGAGCGAACGGGGAGCAGCCCAGAGUCUGAAUCAGCUUGUGUGUUAGUGGAACGGUCUGGAAAGUCCGACGGUACAGGGUGAUAGUCCCGUACACCAAAAUGCACAGGUUGUGAACUCGAAGAGUAGGGCGGGACACGUGGUAUCCUGUCUGAAUAUGGGGGGACCAUCCUCCAAGGCUAAAUACUCCUGACUGACCGAUAGUGAACCAGUACCGUGAGGGAAAGGCGAAAAGAACCCCGGCGAGGGGAGUGAAAAAGAACCUGAAACCGUGUACGUACAAGCAGUGGGAGCACCUUUAUGGUGUGACUGCGUACCUUUUGUAUAAUGGGUCAGCGACUUAUAUUCUGUAGCAAGGUUAACCGUAUAGGGGAGCCGCAGGGAAACCGAGUCUUAACUGGGCGUUAAGUUGCAGGGUAUAGACCCGAAACCCGGUGAUCUAGCCAUGGGCAGGUUGAAGGUUGGGUAACACUAACUGGAGGACCGAACCGACUAAUGUUGAAAAAUUAGCGGAUGACUUGUGGCUGGGGGUGAAAGGCCAAUCAAACCGGGAGAUAGCUGGUUCUCCCCGAAAGCUAUUUAGGUAGCGCCUCGUGAACUCAUCUUCGGGGGUAGAGCACUGUUUCGGCUAGGGGGUCAUCCCGACUUACCAACCCGAUGCAAACUACGAAUACCGAAGAAUGUUAUCACGGGAGACACACGGCGGGUGCUAACGUCCGUCGUGAAGAGGGAAACAACCCAGACCGCCAGCUAAGGUCCCAAAGUCAUGGUUAAGUGGGAAACGAUGUGGGAAGGCACAGACAGCCAGGAUGUUGGCUUAGAAGCAGCCAUCAUUUAAAGAAAGCGUAAUAGCUCACUGGUCGAGUCGGCCUGCGCGGAAGAUGUAACGGGGCUAAACCAUGCACCGAAGCUGCGGCAGCGACACUAUGUGUUGUUGGGUAGGGGAGCGUUCUGUAAGCCUGCGAAGGUGACCUGUGAGGGUUGCUGGAGGUAUCAGAAGUGCGAAUGCUGACAUAAGUAACGAUAAAGCGGGUGAAAAGCCCGCUCGCCGGAAGACCAAGGGUUCCUGUCCAACGUUAAUCGGGGCAGGGUGAGUCGACCCCUAAGGCGAGGCCGAAAGGCGUAGUCGAUGGGAAACAGGUUAAUAUUCCUGUACUUGGUGUUACUGCGAAGGGGGGACGGAGAAGGCUAUGUUAGCCGGGCGACGGUUGUCCCGGUUUAAGCAUGUAGGCUGGUUAUCCAGGCAAAUCCGGAUAAUCAAGGCUGAGGUGUGAUGACGAGGCACUACGGUGCUGAAGUAACAAAUGCCCUGCUUCCAGGAAAAGCCUCUAAGCAUCAGGUAACAUCAAAUCGUACCCCAAACCGACACAGGUGGUCAGGUAGAGAAUACCAAGGCGCUUGAGAGAACUCGGGUGAAGGAACUAGGCAAAAUGGUGCCGUAACUUCGGGAGAAGGCACGCUGGUGUGUAGGUGAAGUCCCUGCGGAUGGAGCUGAGACCAGUCGAAGAUACCAGCUGGCUGCAACUGUUUAUUAAAAACACAGCACUGUGCAAACACGAAAGUGGACGUAUACGGUGUGACGCCUGCCCGGUGCCGGAAGGUUAAUUGAUGGGGUUAUCCGUAAGGAGAAGCUCUUGAUCGAAGCCCCGGUAAACGGCGGCCGUAACUAUAACGGUCCUAAGGUAGCGAAAUUCCUUGUCGGGUAAGUUCCGACCUGCACGAAUGGCGUAAUGAUGGCCAGGCUGUCUCCACCCGAGACUCAGUGAAAUUGAACUCGCUGUGAAGAUGCAGUGUACCCGCGGCAAGACGGAAAGACCCCGUGAACCUUUACUAUAGCUUGACACUGAACAUUGAGCCUUGAUGUGUAGGAUAGGUGGGAGGCUUUGAAGCGUGGACGCCAGUCUGCGUGGAGCCAACCUUGAAAUACCACCCUUUAAUGUUUGAUGUUCUAACGUUGGCCCCUAAUCGGGGUUGCGGACAGUGUCUGGUGGGUAGUUUGACUGGGGCGGUCUCCUCCCAAAGCGUAACGGAGGAGCACGAAGGUUAGCUAAUCCUGGUCGGACAUCAGGAGGUUAGUGCAAUGGCAUAAGCUAGCUUGACUGCGAGCGUGACGGCGCGAGCAGGUGCGAAAGCAGGUCAUAGUGAUCCGGUGGUUCUGAAUGGAAGGGCCAUCGCUCAACGGAUAAAAGGUACUCCGGGGAUAACAGGCUGAUACCGCCCAAGAGUUCAUAUCGACGGCGGUGUUUGGCACCUCGAUGUCGGCUCAUCACAUCCUGGGGCUGAAGUAGGUCCCAAGGGUAUGGCUGUUCGCCAUUUAAAGUGGUACGCGAGCUGGGUUUAGAACGUCGUGAGACAGUUCGGUCCCUAUCUGCCGUGGGCGCUGGAGAAUUGAGGGGGGCUGCUCCUAGUACGAGAGGACCGGAGUGGACGCAUCACUGGUGUUCGGGUUGUCAUGCCAAUGGCACUGCCCGGUAGCUAAAUGCGGAAGAGAUAAGUGCUGAAAGCAUCUAAGCACGAAACUUGCCCCGAGAUGAGUUCUCCCUGAGACUAUAAGUCUCCUGAAGGAACGUUGAAGACGACGACGUUGAUAGGCCGGGUGUGUAAGCGCAGCGAUGCGUUGAGCUAACCGGUACUAAUGAACCGUGAGGCUUAACCUUACAACGCCGAAG